GCUUGGUCCAAGGGCAGUGGUGUUUACAACUAAUUGAUCACUACCAGUUACAAACGUCUGUGCCUUCUCCACCCCUGCUGCUUUACCUGACCAGCCUUUU
ensembl:misc_RNA Y_RNA Y RNA